rnacentral:sRNA from 1 species
UCAGCGGACUGCUCGAGCUGCU